UUGAAUAAACAUUUGAUAGGCUGUUGCUGGCCCCUUCUGGGGGUAUUGUGCACGCCUUGUCAUCUUUAUAUCUCCACCUGUGCACUUUUUGUAGGCCUUUCCAGGUCUAUGUUGCUUCAUUUUACCCCAACUGUAUGUCAUUAGAAUGUUGUGCCUAUAUAACAUAUA
rnacentral:misc_RNA from 1 species